rnacentral:rRNA from 1 species
UACGAAGGGGGCUAGCGUUGUUCGGAAUUACUGGGCGUAAAGCGCGCGUAGGCGGAUCGCUAAGUCAGGGGUGAAAUCCCAGGGCUCAACCCUGGAACUGCCUCUGAUACUGGCAAUCUGGAGAUCGGGAGAGGUUGGUGGAAUUCCGAGUGUAGAGGUGAAAUUCGUAGAUAUUGGGAGGAACACCAGUGGCGAAGGCGGUCCCCUGGGCCGGAACUGACGCUGAGGCGCGAAAGCCAGGGGAGCAAACGGG